rnacentral:rRNA from 1 species
CAGUCGCCACGGGAAAACGUAGGUGGCAAGCGUUGUCCGGAAUUAUGGGGCGUAAAGCGCGCGCAGGCGGAUAGGUCAGUCUGUCUUAAAAGUUCGGGGCUUAACCCCGUGAGGGGAUGGAAACUGCUGAUCUAGAGUAUCGGAGAGGAAAGUGGAAUUCCUAGUGUAGCGGUGAAAUGCGUAGAUAUUAGGAAGAACACCAGUGGCGAAGGCGACUUUCUGGACGAAAACUGACGCUGAGGCGCGAAAGCCAGGGGAGCGAACGGGAUUAGAUACCCCCGUAGUCCCUGUCUCUUAUACA